GGCGGGGCCUGGCCUGGCCGGGGGUACACUUGUGGAAUGUCACAUAGAGGAGAGAGGGGUCCAGAUGCUCUGUGCUUCUCAGAUCGGGACCUUCAAAUGUUAAUGGAAGAGGUCCAGAGGAGGAGAUCCCUCCUGUACCCUGCUGGCUAUCGAAAUCCACCUGCCACAGCCAAGAAAGCCUGGGUACAAAUUGUGAUUGGGGCGAAAGCAGCAGGACAGCAUGCACUUCCCUGGAUUCAGUGCAGGAAAAGGUUCUGAUCUGUUGCGUUCUGGCAAGAUAUGGUCCGGACUGGGGCUGGGUCAGCCUGGCUCAAAACAAUUCGCUCAGUUGAACAGAUGGCCAUGGAGAUUUCAAGAGUGCCUUAACAGCUGUCUGGUGGAAUAAAUAAGUAGCAGGUGAUUGAAAUCACCUUGGAGCAUAGUGGUAAUGGUGGAGACCCUGCUGUUGCCUCACUGAGCAGAAAGGAAUGUGAUAUGAGAAGGAGUGCAACAAUGGCGUUGCGUCAUAAUGGCAGUGUGAGCAUGAUUAAAGGCAGUGGCAUGCAUCAGCGUGCUUUCACGAUGUGAAGGGCUAUACCUAAAUAUCUCAUUCUGUGUUUCAUGCAGGUUCCAGCUCUGCUCACUAACAAC